rnacentral:tRNA from 1 species
GCCUGCCUGGUGUAGUGGUCAGCGCGCUCGAAGCAUAAUCGAGAGGUCUGUGGUUCGAUUCCCGGCGAAGGCG